AGUGGGGGACAUAUUGUUUUUGCCCUGUCUUUUGGUCUGUUGGUCUGUCUGUUGGUCUGUCUGUUUGCGCCAACUUAAACAUUUUGCAAUAACUUUUGCUAUAUUGAAGAUAGCAACUUCAUAUUUGGCAUGCAUGUGUAUCUCAUGAAGCUGCACAUUUUGAGUGGUGAAAGGUCAAGGUCAUCCUUCAAGGUCAGAGGUCAAAUAUAUGUGGCCAAAAUCACUCAUUUUAUGAAUACUUUUGCAAUAUUGAAGAUAGCAACUUGAUAUUUGGCAUGCAUGUGUAUCUCAUGGAGCUGCACAUUUUGAGUGGUGCAAGGUCAAGGUCAAGGUCAUUCUUCAAGGUCAAACAUCAUAUAGGGGGACAUUGUGUUUCACAAACACAUCUUGUUUUGAAAUCAUGAGUAACAUUCUCUGCAAACGAGGCGGUGCUGGAGACAGAGGUUUUUUCAUGAAUGCUGCAAUUGGUCUAUGGUCAGAAAGAACUAUGACCUUACGUCCAUACACGUACUGAUGAAAUCGUUGACAACCAAACACAAUUGCCAACAUCUCUCGUUCAAUGUUUGCAUACGAGCUCUGUGUAGGGGUCAAUGUCUUGCUUGCAAAAGCAAUUGGUUUGCCGUCUUGCAAAAUGGUGGCACCAACACCAUGUUUGCAUGCAUCGCAUUCAAGCGUAACCUGUUUUUUAAAGUACGCAAGUACUGGGCUUUGCGUCACUACGUCCAUCAUUUUAUUGAUACGUCAAUUUGUGGCUGAUCGAAUACGAAUUCCACGUCUUUCUUGAGUAAAGCACGUAAACUGCUUGUAAUGUCAGCCAAAUGUGGUGAAAACUUGUGCAGGUAAUUCACCAUGCCAAGAACUGUUUCUAGUUCUGCCUUUGAUUUUGGGUACUGCAAAGACGUAAUUGCUUUAACAUUUUCACUGUCAACUUUAAGACCAGUGUCUGUAAUGACAUGACUAAAGAAUGGCACUUCUUUUACGUCAAUCAGGAGUUUCUCUGGACUGAAACGUACCCCUUUCUCGUGCCCUGUCAAGCAAAGUGAGUAGAUUGCUGUCAUGCUCAGACUUAGUUCUUCCCCAAAUCAAAAUGUCGUCAACUACACAUGCUACCCCUUUAAGACCUUCAAAUGUUUCGUCAAUUGUCCUUUGCCAAAUGUCUUGACUGCAAUUCAGACCAAAUGGCAUACGUAAGUACCUGUACCGUCCAAACAGUGUACUAAAAGUUGUAAGGUAAGAGGACUUCGUGUCCAACUUAAUUGACCAAGAUGCAUGUGUUACGUCUAAUACGCUAAAAUGCUUUGCGCCAUUUAAUUUGCUCGUGACGUCAUCAAUGGUACGCAUUGGAUAAUGUGGACGUCUUAUAGCCGCAUUCAGAUGUUUUGGGUCAAGACAUACCCUCAAUUCACCUGUCUUAGGGUUUUCCACCACUACUCAGGAAUUUACCCAGUCAGUCGGUUCAUGGACCUUGGUAAUGAUUUGUUCCUUUUCCAUACUAUCAAGUUUAGUCUGGAGUCGUGUUUUGAGUGCCUCAGGGACUCUCCUAGGCGGAUUUACCACAGGAACAGCGUCUGGUUUUAAGUACAACUUGCAUGUUCCAGACAUAACCCCAGUGCCUUUAAAUAGGUCUCCAUACUCGGUCAAAACUGUGUCACGGUCGAUGUCUUUAUUGUCAACUGAGAAUGUCAACUGGACAAGUCCAAGGUCUAUGCAAGAUUGCAUACCUAGCAAUGGACGUGAUUUGCUGUUCACAAUGUAGAAAUCAGUUUUAAUUUCUUUUGAUUUGUAACUGCAUGUGAGGUUAAUUUGACCUAGUAUUGGGAGAGUGUUGCCUGUAUAGCUUGUAAGAGUGUGAACAGCUGGCUGCAAUGGAUGAGAUAUUUUCAUGAUUUUGUAUUGUGCAAUAGGUAGUAUAUUCACUACAGAGCCUGUGUCUAUCUUGAAAUUUAUUGCGGUUUUGAAAGGACCCACCAAACAUUCAACUAAAGCUCGAUCUGGAAAACUUGUACUCGCCAUACCAAUAUCCGUGUCUUCGCAUGUGGAGGUGCACUCACUGUAACAAACAUAGUUUACUGAUUUACACUGUGAAGCAAAGUUAUAUGGUUUUUAGCACGCAUGGCAUGUUUUCCCAUAUGCGGGACAGUUCCAGUUCGCGUGAAAUCGUCAACAGUUGUUACACGAUUUGUUGCAAUUAUGUGGAAUGCUUCGGUUAUUCUUCUGUAAAGGUCGCCUGGCCAUCCCAUCAUCCUUGGUCUGCGCUCUGCCGGUAGCCCCUUUGUUGCCUCCGGAACCCCCUUUGAUGUGCUGUUUCCGCCGCCCCGGUUUUGAUAUAAUUGCGACGUCAUUUGAUGCGGUCGAUUGCAUUGAUUUUAGUUGGUCUUUGCUGUAUUCGUACGAUUGCGCAAUUUGCAAUGUCUUAUCUAAAGUAAGGGUUUCGCCUUCGUUAAUCAGUUUUUCUCUGAUUUUUGAAGAAUUCGUACCGAAAACAAUACGGUCUCUGAUCAUCUCAUCAGCGUCCUUAAAAUUGCAUUCCUUUGCGAUCAGACGAAGUCUAGUGACGAACUGAUCGAUUGUGUCGGAGUCCUGCUUUUGACUGUAGAAUUUGUAACGGCUGAAUAUUGAGUUUAUUUUCGGCUGAAAAUGUGAAGCGAACAAUAAGUGUCAAAUUUCUUACUUUCUUCUUGACUCAAUUGCCAAGUGCUGUGUAUGUCCCUGCCUUUUUCUCCAAUCCAUAACAACAAAUAACUCACUUUUUUUCUUCCUCCGACUUCCCCUUUAACAGACCGGUAAAUACGAAAUUGACAUGACGUUGGAACUUCUUCAAGGCUUCUGAUGGAUUUGGAUCAUCCCAGUUCAUAGUAGGCGGUGAAAUUCCAGCAAGCUCCAUGCUUUAAUAUGUCCAGCAAUAAUUGUCAAAAAAUAAAUAAAUGUAUGUUAAUUAGCUAUAGCCUGUAUCUAUGUAUCUGGAUCAUGGAACAAUUUUUAAGAUGCACAAAUCACAUUGAUCUUUGAUGGGUUUAUGAAAACUGACAUUGUACUCAGUAAUGAAUAUUUUC